rnacentral:rRNA from 1 species
UGGCUGUCGUCAGCUCGUGUCGUGAGAUGUUGGGUUAAGUCCCGCAACGAGCGCAACCCUCGCCCCUAGUUGCCAGCAUUCAGUUGGGCACUCUAGGGGGACUGCCGGUGAUAAGCCGAGAGGAAGGUGGGGAUGACGUCAAGUCCUCAUGGCCCUUACGGGCUGGGCUACACACGUGCU